rnacentral:lncRNA from 1 species
CUAAAACCCCCAAUUUCACUUAGGCUUGGGACGCCUUUCCCUUGUUCCAAGUCCCUUGACUGGAACAAGCACCACAAUGAAAGAGUUUACAAAGGAAAAGUAAAGCUCUAAAAAGCAAAUAUGACAAUUAUGAACAAUAGAAUCCGGAAGAAUCCUUUUGCCAUUGGAAGCGUGAGAAAUGUUGAUUCUUCCGAUGUGGACCGCGUAGGGUUGAGUGUGAGCUUUGAAUCCCGAGCGUACGAGAGAGGUUGAGCUUGAAAUCACUUGGGAAGCUUGAAAACACUUGAUUUCUUCACUUGAAUGCACUCACUCCCUUGAACUUUUCUUUCUUACUUUUCUCUUGAAUGAUCUAGCUUUUGGUUGGUGAAGAGUUGUUGAGAAGCACUUAAGAGGUCCCUUUUAUAGCCCAAAAAAAGCAAAUAUAGCCGUUAGAGACAAAGUAAAAAGGAUUUGAAAUUCAAACCAAACCUGAAAAGCUGUCAGUCGCGUCCCAGGCGCUCCGGGG